GGUGACUUACACUCCAUGCAAAUAAGGUUUACCUGCUAUAUUUUCAAAUCUAAGAAAUGAUGGGCUUCCUCGAAGAGAGUCACAUGAUUACUAAACAAACAAUCUCAUCUCUGGAAAGCUUGUGUGCUUUUCUCCACCGUUGGACACUGUUUUAGAUACUAUGAACCAGCAGGGUCUUUGCCUAAUCACAUUAGCCAUCUUGCUGGCAUCUCUCCCAGUUGUUCAGAGCAAGAAGAUUCUUGUCUUUUCUGUGGAUGGCAGUCACUGGGUCAACAUGAACAUCUUGGUUGAAGCUCUUCAUGCCAAAGGUCACAAUAUUACAGUCAUGCGGAUGACAAAUAGCUGGUACAUCAAAGAGUUCUCACCUCACUACACUUCAAUCACUCUAAAGUCUGCAGGAGGAUUUGAUGAAGACUUCUUCACAGUCUACUGUGAAACUACUGGGUAUUCUGAGGGAAGGUUCGAUCUGGACUCAUCUGAAGGUGAAGAUAGAGAUGUGGCAAAGUUUUUCAGGAAUGGUUGAAGUUGAAAACAAAAUGAUAGUCAACAUGUUUGAAGACCAUCAGCAGAUGUAGUCCUUAAAAUAUGCCAAAUUUGAUAUGAUUCUAACAGAUCCGUUUAUAGUCGCAGGGGUGCUCUUUUGGGUCACCAUCUUAAACUUCCUAUUGUCUACAAUGCUCGCUGGACAGUUUACUUUGAAGCUCAUUUUGCAAUAGCUCCUUCUCCACUUUCUUAUGUUCCUGUGCCACUGCUGGAGUUAUCAGAUCGCAUGAGUUUCUUGGAAAGAGUGAGAAAUUUUGUGAUGUACAUCAUACCAGAAAUACAGGCAGCUAUCAUGAAUUCUCCAUCUUAUGAUGCACUCUCCGAACUGUUCAUUGGUCCAGGAAAAUCCUAUCUUUCUUUAAUUCAGGGAGCUGAUCUGUGGCUCCAUAGAACUGAUUUUGUGUUUGAAUAUCCACGUCCCACUAUGCCAAACAUCGUCUAUAUUGGAGGUUUUCAAUGCAAGCCAUCAAAGCCUCUCCCACAAGAUCUGGAGAACUUUGUUCAGAGCUCUGGAGAUCAUGGUGUCAUCAUCAUGUCUCAUUGGUCAGCUUCCUGAUGAUGUGGCCGAGGCAAUUGCUGAAGCUUUCGCAGAACUUCCACAGAAGAUCAUCUGGAGGUACAAAGGAAAGAGACCGUCUGCGCUAGGAAACAACACCUUAGUGAUGGACUGGAUGCCUCAUGGUCAUCCCAAGACCAGAGCCUUCGUGGCACAUGGAGGAACUAAUGGAGUUCAAGAAGCCAUCUACCACGGGGUGCCAAUCAUCGCAUUUGGCCUGAAUUUUGACCAACCAACCUGACAAUCUUGAAAAAAUGAGAGUGAGAGGUGCAGCCAAGAAUGUAGACUUUGCCACAAUGGAUAAGGAGUCUUUCCUUAAAACGGUCAAAGAGGUACUCUAUGAUCCCUCUUAUCGGGAGAACAUGCAGAGACUCUCAAGGCUUCACAAGGAUGUUCCAGUGAAGCCUCUGGACAACGCCAUCUUCUGGAUUGAGUUUGUUAUGAGACACAAAGGUGCCGCUCACUUGCGCACAGAGUCGAACAAAAUGCCCUGGUACUCUUAUCACUCUGUUGAUGUUAUUCUGGUGCUGAUUUCUGCUGUGUCACUCAUAAUCCUGACCAUAUAUGCAGUUAUCAGAUAUUUCUGCUGCAGAAUUUGCAUGAGAAAAACAAAAGCCAAGCGACAGUAAUGAAAAUGUAAAAUGUUUACUUGUUUUAAUACUAUUUGGUACCUAUAAAAAGAUGCUUGGGGAAAUAUUUUGG